rnacentral:tRNA from 5 species
CGGGCUGUAGUAUAGUGGUAGUAUAUAUGAUUUGGGAUCAUACGGUCUGGGUUCGAUUCCCAGCAGCCCGA